GCAAACUUGGUCAUUUAGAGGAAGUAAAAGUCGUAACAAGGUUUCCGUAGGUGAACCUGCGGAAGGAUCAUUAUCGAGUGCACCCCCCGUUAAAAAGGGGGUACCUCCCGUCCUUUGCUGGCCCUUAAAGGGCUUUUUAAACUUCUGCUUCGGUGGGGUUACCCGCCGGAACACCCUCAAAACUCUUUGACAAAAAAACCGUUCCGUCCGAGAGCUUUUAUGAAUUAGCGAAAAACUUUCAACAACGGAUCUCUUGGUUCUGGCAUCGAUGAAGAACGCAGC
rnacentral:misc_RNA from 1 species